rnacentral:tRNA from 1 species
GCCAGUGUGGUGAAAUUGGCAAACACAACAGACUUAAAAUCUGUCGCCCGUUUGGGCUUGUCGGUUCGAGUCCGACCACUGGUACCA